UAGCAGUUCGAAAGCAUGUCAAAGUGCAAGUAGAUACAUAGGUACCGCUCCGGCGGGAAGGUAAACGUUGUUUCCGUGCGCUGCUCUGGUUCACCAGAAGCAGCUUAGUCAUGCUGGCCACAUGACCCGGAAGCUGUACGCCGGCUCCCUCGGCCAAUAAAGCGAGAUGAGCGCCCACAACCCCAGAGUCGGCCACGACUGGACCUAACGGUCAGGGAUCCCUUUACCUUUACUUUUAACUCCGCUUAAGAGAACACUGUUUUUGCUUAUCUUCUUCCCUGAUACAGCGUCUACUGUGGCACUCGCUAAGUUGAUUUCUUCAGACAUCUUUCUCCGUGUCUGAAAAGGUUCUAGCUGCACUCAUUUCAUCUUUCCAGGCUUGGGAGAACUCAUUACAAUUCAAAGAAGUAAGUUCUACUUUUAUGUAGUGAAGGAGCUGUUUUAACAUUUGUUUUACCAGCCUGCCCCCUGGGAGCUGUUGUUCAGUUUAAAAAUAAAGACGGAUCCACUAUGGAACCAUGGGCUGCAUCUGCCUACUCCAGCAGCCAAACUGCACCACAUCAUAAGGACACUAUCCUGCAAAAAGAACACCAGCCUACUUUUUAUGUGAUAUGAUAUCUCACAAAGCCAAAGACAGUUGCUCUGGUGCACAGGUGGGGAAUCUCAGGCCGGGGUGUGUGUGUGUGUGUGUGUGUGUGUGUGUGUCAGUUGUGGCUAUCCAGGCCUCUGUAUCUUCCCAGGGCACAUUUCUUUGUAGUCCAGCCUCAUAUCUCCAGGCUUCACCCCUCAAUAGUCCUGGCUCUGUACCCUCUUCAAAUCCUUUUGCCUGCCUGGAAGAUGUGCUUGAACUGUGGUAAUGCCUCAUGUUUCCCUGCCUGGAGAAAAGAGGUGAGUGUAGAAACCUCUCACUUUUGCUGUACAAACAUAACAGCCUCACCUGUUGCUCCUCCUAUUUUUGCCUCCGGCCCAGCGCACCACAGGCAUGUGGCCUCCGAAAGGUUGCCCAUGAGGGAAUGUGGCCCCUGGGCUGCAAUGGGGCUCCACCCAUCCUCUAACGUAAAUGUCUCUCUCCCUUUUAAGGGAUCCCCUAAAUUCUACGCAAAGCUGAAAGUGAAAUUAAGGUACCUGAAGUCAUUCCUAAAAUUGUGGGAUUUGAGGAUAGUUCUAUGCCACAGCCCUUGCCACACUUCUUUUCAUGUUCCUUAAAUUGGCUGACUUGAAAUUGCAUUCAGUGACCUUUAAAUGGAAGGGCAAUGACGUCUGCUUCUAAUAAUGCAGUUGCUACACUGAAGCACUUAAAACACAGUUACUGUAUGCAUUCGAGCUCCCUGAAUUAUCGGUAGGCAAACAAAGGCCCGCGGGCCAGAUCAGGCCCAAUUGCCUUCUGGAUCCAGCCCACGGAUGGUCGGGAAUUGCAGCGUGGAUCGCCAGCGUGCACGUUCUUUCCCUCUCCUUCCCCCUCCCUCCCACAGUGGCGGCAGCAGCACCUCCUCCCUCCCUCCUCCCCGCCCUGCCUAGAGGAGGAAGGGGGCUGGGCUUUGUUGGUGCCAGCAGCAGCAGUGCUUGAGCGGCCGCCAUUUUAAGCAGCCCCUCUCUGGAGCCCUUUUGUGCACUCAUUGCUCAUUGUCCCUCCACCUCCGCCAGCCCCUGCCGCUCGGAAGACACAGGUAAGCAGGCACUGGGGCUCGUGGUUCUCUUGCAUCACUCCCCCCCCCAAAUAUAGUCUGGCCCCCCACAAUAUAGUGAACUGGCCCCCUGCUGAAAAAGUUUGCUGACCUCUGCCCUACAUGGAUUAGCCUUCACUGCAAGUUUUUAACCACUGGACUUGGCACAGUGUGAGGAGGGGGCAAGGCAAUGAUCUUAUGCCAGAAUGGCGUCCUGCACAGAGCAACCUCCAUGGCAGUCACUUUCAAAGAACUGGUCACCAAUAUGUCUAAUAUACUAAUAUUUUCUGAGUAACUCAAAGCCAGGUGAGUUGACUGUGGUUACUCUCUAAGCUCAUUCAGACAACCCCUGAGUGUGUCAUUCCUCCUUUAAAUAAGAGACAAGGCGCUUCCAGCUCUUGAAAUGAUGUUGGUCUUAAACUCCCAUCAGUCCCUGGAAAGAGGAGAGGUGAAAGACCACAAGUUCCCCAUCCCUGCUGUAAAUGAACACAAGAAGAGUGGGGAAUCUAGUCCAGCACUGCUCAGCGUAAGGUUGCAGUUUCCUCAUGGGAAACUGUUCCAGCAAUGGCUCCUCCCUUGGCUCAGAUUGUGAUUAAAUAGAAUGAAUGGCAGUUGUACCCAAAGGUGAUGCUUGCUCAACCAGUUCGCUACAAGCAAACUGUAAUCUGGCCCAAUAAGGAAAGCCAGAUUCAUGCUUAAUACUCCAUAUACAAAGAAUAAUUUCUCACCAAUAUCCAAGCUUGUCAAUUUUUUAAAAAGUUUGUAUAUAACCUUCAUUUUCUGAUUGAUUAAUCUUGACAGGAGUUCCUCCACAAAGCCCUAUGUACAAGUUCUUCACACAUUCAAAAUUGCACAUGGGAGAGAUAUGCCAUCAUGGAACAAUAUCUAUAUUAGUAGAUUUUUCAGCUUAUUCUUCACUUUGCACAGCCAUCCAUAGCCUGUGGGGGGUUUCUGUUAAAAAUCUUUUCCCAGAAUCUCUCUUCAUUAGAGCUAGUUGAGGUGUUUGGGUUUUGCUUUGUUUUUUGCUUCUUCUUCUCAUGUUCAUUCUACUACAGUGGUAGCUGGUGAAGGAGGUUUCUCAGUAGAAACCACUGUUAUAUUGUGGUAAUUGAGAAGGGACUGACCAUACUGGCUGCUGUACUCCCUGCCUCCAAUAACACAUCUUGGCAUGUGAAAUUGUGUGUAGAAAUUCCCUCCUUUAUUGCCACACAAUGGAGGAUUUGACUAGCGAGCUGCCUCAUCAGCCACAAGUGUUCUGUUGCUUUUUUUUCUACCUUAAAUUUAAUUGUUCUAGAGCAACAGCAGACAACCCAUGGCCCUCCAGACAUUGUUGGGACUCCAACUCCCAUCAGCUCCAGUCAGCAUAGCCAAUGGUCAAAGAUAGUGGGAGUUGUAAUAUAGCAACAUCUGUAAGGCCAUAGGUUUCCAACUCCUCUUCCAGAUAGCGGAAGCUAAUUUCAGACAGACAUCAUCCCCACUCCACAUACUCCCAAGAGACUCUAACCUUUUUUCUGAUUUGGCUCAUUUCCCCCCAGCAACGCUGCAAAUAAUCCUCUCAACUGUCGCAGUCACUUAUAUACCAAUUUUGCCUCUCAUUUAUUUGCAAAACUGUCAUUUGAAGCUUUCGAAACCUCUCCCACGAGGCAGCUCUCAGGCUGCUUGUGUUCACACUGCUUUUGGUUAGAAAAUAACUGUGGGUUUCAAAUUUUAUUUUUUAUUUUUGUGUAGAGCUCACAAUAGUUUGAGAACCUCUUUUGUAGACUCAAACAACUGUAGUUGGGCAGAGAGAUACUUCUUGAAUACUGUGCAACCCUAAUGAGACUGAGAGAGAUUUCUUUUGAAGUGGGUUCGGUAUGUUGUUAAGCAGACCACAUUUUUAUGAUGUGAAACUAUUAGGCUGCUUUAAACAGGUGGAUGCAACCAACAGUUGCAGUUGUAAUCCUGUUACUAUUAUGACACAGUACCACAUAUUAUAUGAGAUUACUCUGGAGUAAGUUACAUUAGGGUCACCAACUGAGGAUAGAGAACUCCAGCUUGGCCCCAGAAUGAUAUUGCACAGUAACUGGUGGUUAAAUGUUUAUUUUUCAUUCUUUCAUUUGUUGCAAAAGGAAUUCCAGAGCCAUGUUUUCUUUCCAACAUCCCAUAAUCUGGAAAGAUCUCAGUGGCACCAGUUGGACUACCCUGAAGUUAAUGAUUUGAGGCUUGAAGCUUAAGGAUGCAGACGGAAAACAGCACAGAUGCCUUCUUAUCGUGGGCACCCUUCCAAAAAAAAUAAAUAAAAGUAUUUACUCUGGAACAAGGCAAGAACUUAAGCCACAAUGCACUCAAUUUAAUGAAAGUAAAGGGGUUUUUUUGGUUUAAGUUACUACCGUAAACCUGUCAAGCAAACUUGGUUCGCAAUAAAGCUCAUUCUCCCCAGCUGCAGUCAUAUUUGGAACUACCUGUUAAGGGUGGAAAGAUGAGCAGCAGGGCAGCAAAAAGGAGGUUUAUCUAUGGCAGCUAAUCUCCUCAAUCAACAGCACUCUGCUCUGCUCAACAGCCGUUGCCAAGUAACAGGCCAGAGCUUCUCUUAUCGGCUUCCUAAUGUUUCAUUGACUAUUCAGACAAGAAUAGAAAGCUGUGACAUGGAGGGUUAUAUGCAGCACAAAAUGAAAACGGCACAUUAUGUGGGAAGAAAAAGAGAAAUCUUUUAGUCCUUUUUAAAAAAUAAAAAAUAAAAUAUCUGGAUAGUCAGUGGCUAUUGUUCGUGUCCUCCACCAUCACCUCGCCCACCAAGGUAAUUUUCUGCACUGCUCAUUCUAAACCACAAAAAACAAACAGGGGGAAGUUAUAAAUUUGCAUGCAUAAGACUCUUUUGGUCUUUCUUGGUAAGAGCUCAGCCAUUCAUUGACAUCACCAAUUCCCUCUAUAAAGGAAAGCAGCCAUUUCUCAGUUGCACGUUCCACCGGCAGAUCAGAGUACUGGUGGCAAUGAUGAAGGGGAUUGGAAUCUUUGUACAUUAUGCCCUGCUUGUAAUAAAGGCAAAUGCAUGUCAAAUUGGCAACGUUAAAAUUUUAUCUACAGCAACAUCUCUCACGUACACAGAGAAGGAUAGCAAUUUCCAACCGGAUCAUUACUCAUACAGCCUCUGCACUUGUUUCCCAUUCACAUUCCAGGUUAGGCACAGGAAAUUUCUUGUUUUAAUACUUUAAUACUUUAAUAAAAACCCGAUUUUCAGUGCAGAAGCAUUUAAUUAAAAACCUUAAUUAUGAGAUGGAGUUUAAAAACAGGAUCUUCUGUCAUUCUCUCUUCAGGGUAAUAAAUAAUCAAAAAUUCUUAUGCUUAUCUUGCUAAAUGUUACAUACUACUUGGUAAGCAUGUGGUAUGAAUACUUCCAAUCUAAAACAAAAACCUUAUUUUGUAACAUGUAUUUUAUAUCACAUUCAUAAAUAUUGGCUGCACAGGAAUUUCCUCAAAAUUCGCACUUCUGUAAAGGAAGACAUGAACACAGCAGCAGAAUAUUUCACUAAACCACAUGGAUGCAAUAUGUGAUUUAUUGACAUAUUAUGCAAAUACAUACUACAUAGACAGAACCAUAUCUCCCAUUACAUUUCAGAGGCACACAUGAAACACUUUGGAGUAACAUACUGUAUUCCAUGUCAUAUAGGAUCGGAGAAUCACAAUGUAUACUUAUAUCACAGAGUGAAGGCCAAGAAAGCUAAGUGCACAGGAAGCAUCAUUUGCAACAGAAGUUACAAUCUUGACUUAGGGCAGAACUACAUGUUAUGAAUUGCAUUGUUGUUCCUUUAGAAGAUUAUUUUUGUCAGGCAUUGAAAUCUGCAAUUUGAAGUGGAAGGCCAAAUUUUUUUUGGGGGGGGGGGAGAAAGAAUAGGCUUCUUAAUACUUUUUCCUACAUGAUCAAACCUUUACUACAAGAUCAAACCUAUCCAUUCUUAAGGAAAUCAGCCCUGAGUGCUCACUGGAAGGACAGAUCCUAAAGCUGAGGCUCCAAUACUUUGGCCACCUCAUGAGAAGAGAAGACUCCCUGGAAAAGACCCUGAUGUUCGGAAAGAUGGAGGGCACAAGGAGAAGGAGACAACAGAGGACGAGAUGGUUGGACAGUGCUCUUGAAGCUACCAACAUGAGUUUGACCAAACUGCGGGAGGCAGUGGAAGACAGGAGUGCCUGGUGUGCUCUGGCCAAUGGGGUCACGAAGAGUCGGACACGACUAAACGACUAGAGAAGCUGCUUCCACUACUAAUGAAGAAAAGAUACAAGUAGCAGCACCUUUCCCCCCACCUGGAGUUAAAGAAAUCGUGGCACAAUUUUCAGAUGAAAAAUAGCUCAAGGGAAAAUGGUUAAGAAGCCUCUCUGCAACACAUUGGGCAAACUGCAGCUGCAUUAUAAUUUAUAAGUACGAGCAAAACUAUAAGAAACUAUCUUCUAGUUACUUCACAACUUGAGUAUCAUCAAGCAAGUAACACCAAGCAAAUGACAGAUAGAUACAGAUACAGAAAUAGUUACAGACAGAAGCGAUGAUAGUGGAGAAAUACAGCUAUAGAAACAGAUAUAGACAUAUGUCUGUAUCAUAAGAUGUAAUCCAUUGUGGUACUAACCACUGUACAGAACACAAAAGUGACAAGCAGAUGGACAAGAUUAGAGUGGGUGGAAACUACUUCAAAGUAAUGGAGAGGCUGGAUUAUAUAUUUCCCACUUACAUGUAGUUAUGAACAUCAGCACAAAUUGACCCAGUUUGUUCUCGUAUUGUGCUGCUUAUACCUCACAACCCAGGGGAAAGUGCUGCAAAGCUCAUUAGAAGAAAAUGCGCGCUCAGACUGAAAACACACAAAAAACACUUAUAGCUUUCAAUGACAUCUAACUGAAAAUUAUGUGCCUGGGACAGGUUUCUGUGUUGUUCACCACAGCACAAGACGAGCAUCUCAAUUUGAAAAACCAUUUAAAUAACCUUUAUGGACAAAAAAACCCAACAAGUUGUCCUCUGAUACCCAGCCUUGUUCCAGAGAAUACUUUCGUUGUUGUUGUUUACAUUUGCAUUACCAUCCCUAAGUGGUGAAUUUUCCACAGCCUGUGUCCACAGUUACCUGCAACUACAAGAAGCCCCUUUCCUUCUCAGGCGGUCUUAAGUCUGGCUUUGGACCUGACUGGGGAGCAAUCAAUCAAAACCAUCUCCACAGGUGGCAUCCCAACAACCAGCUUCCUUACAUCCUGCUCUCUUCUCCUUGCUGCUGCUGCUGCUCAAUGUGGCGCCCUCAGUAUCAGACAUGACAUUCCUGACUGCAUCUGAUUCCCUCGGUCCCCUUUCCCUGUCCACAUCCAUCACGCAUGUGCUGCUCCCUGUUGCCUUCAUAUGGCCCCAGCCCAACACCAAACCUACGAAUUGAAACAGCAGGUUGAAAUUGCUAUUUAUAAUAAUAAUAUAAUAAUAAUAAUUUAUUAUUUAUACCCCGCCCAUCUGGCUGGGUCUGUCCAGCCACUCUGGACGGCUUCCAACAAAACACUAAAAUACAAUAGCCUAUUAAACAUUAAAAGCUUCCCUAAACAGGGCUGCCUUUAGAUGUCUUCUAAAAGUUUGGUAGUUAUUUUUCUCUUUGACAACUGGUGGGAGGGCAUUCCACAGGGCGGGCGCCACUACCGAGAAGGCCCUCUGCCUGGUUCCCUGUAACUGGGCUUCUCGCAGGGAGGGUACCGCCAGAAGGCCCUUGGCACUGGACCUCAGUGUCCAGGCAGAAAGAUGGGAGUGGAAAUGCUCCUUCAGGUAUACUGUUUUUCACAAUACCUCGGUAUUCACAAUAAAUAAAACUGGAAAUGGAUAUCACCCCUUACGAAAAGCCCACCAUGAAAGAUCUUGCUCUUUCAUACUUUCCUAUGUGCACAUGCAGAUACAGACAUUCUCGUGCACCUAAAAAUGGGGAAAGGUCAUGGAGGAUAAAGGAUAAGUGACUAUGGUCUGCCCACCGGUAUGGAUGCUAUGCAGUGGCAUGUCAAUGAAUAUCCAAACAAAAUGUGUGGAAGCUUAUAUGCUGAUCACACACACCAGAUCUGAAUGCAAUGCAAGGACUCCAUCUGGCAGCACCCUAACUUAAGUCCAUUGACUUCAAUAGGUUUAUCAUGACUAUGACUUAGCUGGAUACAACCCAGUAAGCUUGAAGGACGACAUUUUAAAGUGUUGUAGAAAGGGACUGCCUGGCAGUGCAUGCAGUGAGCUUUUUUGCACACCUGCUACUGCUGAUAUAAACACAGACACUCUUAGUGCAAUAACCACACUUAUCAAUUUAUUUUCAUUUUUUCUGCCACUUAACAGCAGUUCUGCGAAUGAGGAAAUUGUUCUGUGCUGUUUGAAUUAUUGAACAGAUCCAACAAGACAUCAAGCAGUUUGGAGGGGAACCAAUCAAAUUAUUUUAACAGUAUUUUGUACUAAAUUCAUGUGGGAUGCAACUGUUUUCUCUUAUUAUCUUCAACAAGGCCCCGUUAGCCAGACAUCUAUUAUCUGCCCCAAUUAUCUAAAUUCCCGGUAUGUUCAUAUGUAGCACUAUGUCAAGACAUACCAACAAAAACAGCAUUCUUGCUUAACCAAACAUUUAAUUAUCUGAAUGUUUUCAGUUGCUUUCCUGACAAUUUGGAUAAACAAGAUUGGACUCGUGUACAAAUCAGUGCCACAAAUAUAUACCAAUAACUAAGAACCAGCAGGCCUGUCAAUUAUAACAAAGUAAUACAGCUUAAUGGGAGGGUGCAGAAUAAUGUAGGUCUUUAGGUUAGCUGGUUCUAUUAAGCCACCUUUCCUUUCAUAAACAAACUAAAACACUUUCAAUGGGGGUGGGAGGAUGCAAUGUCUACAUAUUGCAAUUCUUCCUUGUUGCACUUUGGUUCUGGUGUUUUUAAAGGCUUCAGAAUAAUUUCUGUAAAACCAACAUGGAUCAUCUUUAAUUACUAUGUUGCAACCAUGGUUAUUUAAAAACCCGGCUUCAGAAUAGUAGAUGACAAACAUUAAUGAGCAGUAAUGCACACAUGGUAUUGUAAAUGAAAGGAUAAUGAAAGCAAUUUAUUUGAAAAUUAAAAUAUGAUUAAGAAUGGCAGUCUGAACUAGGGCGCAGAUGCGUGGAGGGGGGAAAAAGCAACCAACAUGCAACCAGACUCUCAUUAAUUUAGGGACUUUGUGAAAUUGCUUUUCUUUCUCUGACAGUUUUUAAUAUAGAGUAACUUAACUAGCAGGCCGGGUAUGUAGCCCAGAAUCCUCAGCCUUUUUAGAGAGGUUCAGAGGAGUUGGAGUACAAUACUAGGGAACUGUGUGUGUGUGUGUGUAUAUAUAUAUAUAUAUAUAUAUAUAUAUAUAUAUAUAUAUAAGCUGCCACCCAACACAUUCUUUUAGGUUGGGAUACCAAUAGUUUAAUCGGUAACACAAACCAGUUAAACCAUAGUACUGAUCUAUAGGGACACGGGUGGCUCUGUGGUCUAAACCACUGAGCCUCUUGGGCUUGCCAAUCAGAAGGUCAGCAGUUCGAAUCCCCACGACGGAGUAAGCUCCCUUUGCUCGUUCCCAGCUCCUGCCAACCUAGCAGUUCGAAAGCACACCCCAAAGUGCAAGUAGAUAAAUAGGUACCACUCCAGCGGGAAGGUAAACACCCCGUGCGCUGCUCUGGUUCGCCAGAAGCGGCUUAGUCAUGCUGGCCACAUGACCUGGAAGCUGUCUGCGGACAAACAUCGGGUCCCUCGGCCUAGAGAGCAAGAUGAGCGUGCAACCCCAGAGUCGUCUGCGACUGGACCUAACAGUCAGGGGUACCUUUACCUUUGCCUUUACAGCUCAUUAUAUCUGUGUUCAAGUAUCUGAGACACAUAUCAAGAAGAACAUCAGAAGGGCUUCAGAAUAUUGGACCAAAGCAGUUCUAUUUCCAAAUGCCUCCAGGCAAUCAUGAACAGGGCUUUUUUCAGCCAGAACUCAGGAGAACUCAGUUCCAGCUCCUCUCAUGUGGGCACCAUUGCCAUCCUAAGAGAAUGAGGGAGGCGUUCUUGGCGAGUUCUGGCACCUCUUCCCACCCCCCACCCCCCAGAAAAAUAGCACUGGUCAUGAAGGUAACAGCCCUUCCAUAUUGUAUGCACUCAACAGCUGGUAUUCAGGUUAAUACUCCAUCUGAACAGAUUUAGGCCAAAUAUGGGUGGAAGAUCUCAUAUGUAGCUUGCGAUUCUUUUUCAGACUUCUUUCCUUCUUUAUAUGCAUAGUGCAGCCACUGGGGCUGAAAUUUGAAAUGGAAGGCUUCCCCCACCCCACCCCCUUUGUGUCAUUCCCCUACUUUAACACUAAGCUAUAUAGGUAUAGUUCGUGGUUAUUAUGGGUGGGUACUGUAGCAAUUUAAAAUUGUAAAACGGCAUGUGUAAAAGGGCCAGUUCAAACAUUAGACACUGCCAUCUAUGGUCAGAAACCUGGAUCACACUGGAAAGUCUUUAAAUGUUGCCAUUCUCUCUCUCUCUCAUCAGGAAAAAAUACCACAAUAUACCGUAAUCUUUUCAAUCAAAAGAAGAGAAGCAAAGCAGGAAAAAACAUUUUUAGAUUUAUUCCAGAUAGGAUUUCUUAUCUAUUAGCACUGUUAAACAAUUUUAGCACUCUGGAUGCUCUCUCAAGAAAGUGGUAUAUAUAUAGUAAAUGUUUCAUUUCUAGCCUGUUAGCUGCACUACACUUGACAUAUUAAAACGAUAUAAAAGAAUAUCAAAUUAUUUUUUAAUAAAACAAAACCCAACAAUAAAUCCUAAUUAGAGGCCACAUUAAUCAGAGCACUUUUUCAGCGAGAAAGAUACCGCCUUGGCCUGGGGCUUAAGGAGCAAGGUCAAUGCAAAUUCUAUUUUAAUGAUAAUUAUUUCAGAAAAGGUGGGAAUUUGUCAGAUGUCAUUGAUGGCUGGCCAAUUCCCUCAGCAUAAAAAAGAAAAGAAUACCAUGCUGCAAACAAAAAGUUUCCCUGUUUGGCCAUAGUCAAGAACAGUUGUAUGAGCUUGCCCAUGAUUUACUGAUCUCAGCAUUGCUAGUUCUGUCCAUACUGAGACAUAAAAGUAUUCACAAGGUGCUCAUGAGGUAAAGUUUAAACAAACUUCACCUCCAAACCUGAAACAGAAACCCAGUUUGAAUUAUGGUUUGCAAGUCUGAUUUGGAGGCAAACUCUGGUUUGUAUUAAUCAAUUGGACCAAACUUUGUAACCCAAAGCAAUGAAGGGAUUCUUUUUUAAAAAAAAAUAAAAUUAUUGCUCAAUUUCCACAUAACAAAUUAUCAAACCAUAUAAUCGCCUACAUAAUUUACCCCCUUUUCCCCCUCCCUCCCCCCCACCAAAGACUUUCCUCAGCUCCUCUCCCUGAUUUCGCUGCACAUAUUUUCUCUGCAUAUUAUAAAAUUGUAUAUAUCCUUACAUAUCUGUGCAUCAUGUUAUCAACAAUAAAUUUGUGUAUGCUUAUUCAAAACCUGCCAAGGAGUCCAGUUCAUUUUGUUGUGUUUUUAAAGCAAUGAAGGGAUUCUUCAGCUACCUUCAUGCCUCUCACCUUGUCAACAUGCUUUCCUACCACUGUAUGUAGUUCAACUCAACUACACAUACUAUCAUCUAAGUCCAUUUUAAACAUACAAUAAAGUAGGUUCUUCCCUGUAAAAUCCCUUGUGAAUAACAAGUUAAUCUUUAAAGGCACACAGAAUUGUUUGUUUCUUAGUUUUAACAGUGGGGCCAUACUAUGUUUUAAAAGAAGAUCAAAAUCAUAUGUAUAGAUAGAAAAUCUGUUUCACUGUUAGGCAUUGAAGUUUGAGGUAUCCUCUGCUUGUGGUGAAAAGAAACAUUUGUUGUGCAACUUUCCACUUUUUAAUAAUAUGGAAGAAAGCAAUGCAAGUACUGCAAUCUUGUGAACAAACCAUUCUGUGGGUUUAAUAUCAUACUGUAAAUUUAGAGUCUUAAUGAAAAGCUUUUCCAUGGCUAGAAGAAACCACAGAAAUUGCGUCAAACUAUUUCCCAGGAUGCUCCUACAUUUUAAAAGCAUGAGUGAAGAACAGCGUCAAGUUGGUGGGCCAACUCCAUCUCCAACUGCUGCAGGCAGACUUUUGACCUGCCAAUCACCUGGUGUAGUUAUGACAUUAGCUGACAAGUUCAAAGGUACAUGCUUUUGGUACUGAUCAGCUGAUUGGUGCCGAGAGCAAGCUGCUUUGAAGGCACACUCAAGGAUCCCUUUGAAGUCGGUUUGCAGGUACAAUUUGCAUUCAAACCAUGCCUGCAAGCAGAGAAAAGCAUUUCCAUUUGCAGGCGCAGUUUCAAUCCACCACUGCAAAUAGAUUCUCCUUUCAGGAAAAGCUGGUGCAAAGCCCUGCCACACCGCCAGGUGCAGAGGGGCGAGAUCUCCCCCUCUCACCAAGCGAGAAAGCUGGGAGGUGGAACGGUCAAACCAGCCCUUAUGGGUGCCGCUUGAGAAAGCUACCUCAUCCUGCCUCAUGAGUGGACCAGCUCUGGGCAAGGGCUUUCCAAGCACCACCAAUCAAAAGUUCAGGGAUUUAAAGGCACUGCUCAUCAGCUGAUGCCCCAUAUAGUAUAUGCUGUCAGAUAUAGAGUAAAGGUAAAGGACCCCUGACCGUUAGGUCCAGUCGUGACUGACUCUGGGGUUGCGGUGCUCAUCUCACUUUAUUGGCCAAGGGAGCUGGUGUACAGCUUCCAGGUCAUGUGGCCAGCAUGACAAAGCCGCUUCUGGCGAACCAGAGCAGCGCACAGAAGCGCCGUUUACCUUCCCACUGGAGCAGUACCUAUUUAUCUACUUGCACUUUGAUGUGCUUUCGAACUGCUAGGUUGGCAGGAGCAGGGACUGAGCAACAGGAGCUCACCCCGUUGUGGGGAUUCGAACCGCCGACCUUCUAAUCGGCAAGCCCUAGGCUCUGUGGUUUAGACCACAGCGCCACCCGCAUCCCUUAGAGCAGAGAGAUACGGCUUAGCAACUAGCAAAUAACCUCACAGGCCUGGUGGGGAGGCCCUAAUUAAGGCCGUGGUCCAGAGAAUGCCCAUCACGCCUUUAAAGUAUUGUUCAAAUGUUCAGGUUCUGAACAUGGGUGUAUAUACUGUAUGAUACACACACACACACACACACACACACACACACACCUGUCACUCAAGACAGACACUGAUGAAAUCCAGCUAAACAAGAGCAAAACCUUAUUUGAGUAAAUGAGAAGGAAUAAACAUGAGUAAUAAAUUGGACCAAGGUCUGGUCCAAAAGUAUAUGAGACUACCUAUGUUAAAGCUAUGUAGGUCUAGGUGUGGUCAGUGCCUACAUCAGUAAACACACUGACUGGGUGAACACUUGGGAGUGUAUGCUGCCUUGGGUUCCAUCAUGGCAGAAAAAUGGCACAAAAAUGUAGCAAAGUGUUUUUCUUUAAACAAAAAACAAAAUGUAGACAUAUAAGUAUAGCAUAAAGAGAUUCUUAACAUUACUUAGUUCUUAACAAUACCCUUUGAGAUAAUUACAAAGGAUGCUGUUUGUCUAUAAAGUAAGUUCUGCCUAAAACUCAUAUGAAGGAAAGAAGGCAGCUCCAAGGAAAAUGCCAAUAUGCCGCAGAACAACAUUAUGGAAAUAGAAAUUGGACACCACAUUGAGGUGACCUUGAAGACUUGGCUUAUCACAGAUGAAAAUGACUUGUGAAAUGACAAUUUGGCCAUAAUUGACUAAUGCUCUUCUGAAAGAAGGUUUCCCCACUUCUGUUGACUAAGAAUGCUUUUUACCUCAAAGCACUGAACAGGAUGUUCUUAAAUUCCACUAUUUUAGUACAUUAAAAUUUUGAGCCUUUUUCUUAAGCUUUAGGGAAAACAAAACCAUACUUAUGUUUCCAAUGAAAUGUGAGCAAGAGCAAUGAAUAAUAUUCAUAAUAAAAGAGCUGUUGCCUUACAAUUUAUUCUUGUGCUCACACAGAGAGAAGAAGAUGGCUAUUCAAGAGUAUAUGUGCUUUUGCCCUUAUUGCUUCACCAUUCAUUUGCUACACCUCUGAAUCAAAGGCACAUACAGUUAUCUAGAAGGGUUGGUGUAGACCACAGAGGUCUAUUCCCACAUGUGAAAUGCCCCAUCCACUUUUGCUGAUGCAGUGACUCAUUAAGACCAGCAUUUGCGAACCCUCCACUGUUGCACCCUCAAGGGAGAAAGGUACCAAAAUCUAGAUUUUUCGCUAAAAGCUUCUGUCACAAAUCCAAGGCAUCGUAGCAAGCCUGUUGAAUUUGAAAUAUACCCCGUCUCUAGUAGAAGAGAUGGCACAGAGGGAGACAGUACCUUGUAUCCUGCUAGUGGGUUUCUAAGCAGAGAGACAGAAAGGUUUGUUCACCCUCUUAGAAAAUCACCCCCUUGAAUAAGGCAUAAGACAGGCAUAGGCAAACUCGUCCCUCCAGCUGUUUUGGGACUACAACUCCCAUCAUCCCUGACCACUGGUCCUGUUAGCUAGGGGUGAUGGGAGCUGUAGUCCCAAAACAUCUGGAGGGCUGAGUUUGCCUGUGCCUGGCAUAAGACAUGAAUUGUUAACUUUUAUUGGAAGUCAGAUAGUCCUGACUUUCAAAGGGACUUCAGCUAGGCCACUGCUUAGUGGUUGAAAUUCGUGUGAUUAGCUGUCUAGUGGAACCAGAUGAAGAUGAUUAGGGUUGCCUCCAUUCUAAUGAAACAAAGUUCAUUGUGGUAGAUUUAAAAAAAUAUAUAUUCAAUCAUGGGAUUGAAUUAGUAGUCUGCCAUGAGGCAAGCUACUGCCUUGGAAUGCCUUGGAAUGCAUAUGCUUUAAGUCUUUGUCAGUGCAGUCCGAUACAUCUACUCAGAAGAAAGUCCUGUUGAAUCUCUGCAUGGUAGCCUUCUGGACUAUAGCUCAUGGUUAGUGAGGAAAGAGCUUAACCAUAAGUCCUGGUUCAGCCAACAUGCUAAGCCAAACUUUGUUGGCACAAUGCAUCAGUAAAAGGGACGGGGAGGAGCAAUAUGGUUGUGGACGCCUCUCUGAAACCUCACACAUUUACAAUGCCUUGAUAUAGUUUGGCUUUCCAUGUCAUCUAAAGCAGCCCAAUUUGUUAUAAGGUGCACCUGUCCACAGAAAGCAGAUACCAUACAAAGAAGAACAGAAUUUACUACUGGGAGAAAUUACUUUUCGCUUUAAGAGUGCUGUUCAAAAAGAUGAAAAACACCAAGAAGUUGCCUCUGGUUUUUCAAGGUUUUGCUAUCUUAACUGAAGCCAGCUCUCAAACUAAAAUAAAACUGAUAAUUUCUUAGCAAGCUGGGUGGGGGCAGGGGAACCAAUAACAUAAAAAUUGUCAAAAUGAAUAGGACUUAAUGAAAGUCUCGAUUCUUUUUUUCCUGUUUGGAAUACUUAAUUAACAUAUUUAUUGAAUUACAUCGGCAAUGUAGACAGGAAUACAUUGAAAUGCAUUGAUUUACCCUUCUUCCUCUCAACUUAAAAGCAGCACAGAUGCACAACAGCUCCUCAUCUUGUUUCUGUCACCUCUUUUUUCAAGAGCCCCCCCAAAUUGGCAAUUUAAAACUUAUUCUAUAUCCAGUAUUCUAUACAAUUCUAUAUCCAGUAUGUACUGUUAAUGACAUUAAUGAUGCGCAGAGCACAUCAGAAUGAGGUACGUUCAAAAGAAGGUCACGUGCUGAUCUUACAAAUUUUAAAUCAAACAAGGAGCUCUGUAGACCUCCCGACUCUUCAGGCUGUUUUAACAACUGAGCACUAGAGAUCAUUCUGAAUGUCAUUAUACAUCAAAAAGAUGAAAGAUGUGCCUCCCCUGUCAUAUCUGAUGUACCAUUUGCAGAACACAAUUUAAUUGUAUGUUAUAGCAACGCCUGCCAAGAAACACUAUCAUUGAGGAUAAAACGUAUUGGCACUGCCUGCUGCAGCAAAACUGGAAAAGGUGAGGAGAAUGGGAGGCAAAAUGGUGAAGGGUACACACACAGGAGUAGCUCUUCAGUGCUGAAUGAAGGAAGCCUAAAGAUGUGUCUGAAAAGCAUGAAAGGUUGAGAAGAGCUGAAUAGGGAACAGCUGUUGAGCCUUUCCUGUCAUUCACUAACAAGGCAGCAGGAACGAAACGAACGUAAGCAGAGUUCAGAGCAGCAGACUUAUAAAUAGUAAACAAAAAUAAUUGAGUCGUCCCCCCCAUCCUCUCCCCUGAGCAAACUGAACUCGGUUCCAUGGAACAUGCAAUUGUACACUCCCAGUUUAUUUAUUUAUUUUAAAAGGACUUUUAGAAAUUCAAGAAAAUGUUAGGAACAACAUCAGGGAGUAAGGACACUGCAUGCAGUGAAGAAGAACUGCAAAAACAUGCUGCCCUGCUGAUCUCCUUCUAAAUACCUGAAAUAAUAUUCAUAGGCACAGAUAACUGGUUCAGAGCGGGUCACUGGACCAAUGCGUCCAGGUCCUUGUCUAAAACAACUGCUGCCAUUUCUGGUUAAUUGAGGAGUUAAAAACAACAACAACCUACCAUAGAAAUGAGGUGCAGGGACAGAGAUGAUGAAGCAGGAAACUGGAGAAGAUAAAGAGUGCACAACAGUUUUUGUGGUUAGUGUUAUGUACUGAAGUUCUCACCCUGGGCCAGCAGGGGGAUACUGUAGAUAGUUAUGCAAAUGAAGGAUCGAAAGUGAUGUUCAGUGAUUGGAUAGUUUUAGAAAGUUGUUACAGUAACAAGGUACUGGAGCUCUAUAUAAGCAGGCUGACUGAGCCCUUCAGCUCAGUUCUGUUCUGGCAUCUGAAUAAAGAAGAGCUGUUUGAAGAAUCGCUGUGUCGUCUGAUAUGUUCACCCACGACUUAACAGUUAAGUUAAAAAUAUUGUGUAACAGGCCUUACGUCAGAAGAUAGUUUAGAAUCAUUAAACUGAGAAAUAUUGGUAUGUGUCUGUAAAGCUCAGAGAAUGUGGCUCCAUUGUCUCUGGAGCUGGUGUGGCUCCAUUGUCUCUGGAGCUAAGCAUGACAGGCACUGUGUGUACCUCAGAACUACUGAGAUCGUAUCGCCUGCUUUGGUGUGUAGUGCCCAGGAUCAAACUUGCAUGGUCAGGCCCCUGGAGUGCCCCUAAAUAUUUGGAGAGUAUUUCUACAUACUUGCAAAGAACAAUUAACAGUAUAUUUUCUGUCCUGGGCAGCAGGAUGCCUGCUUGCAUGUUUUCACCUCCUGCAGAGAGUUGCAAAUUGCUGUAUAAUGCCAUCUCAGAAAGGCGUAUCAGUUAAAGGUGAGCCACUUCAGCUGGUAGGCAGGUGCUAAUGCAUUUGCAGGGACAUGUGCGUGGAGAGCUGAAAAAGGCACACAAAGCAGGCUGAUGUACCUUUUCAAUCAUCCUUCUGGCAUUUCAGCCAACAAUUAUAUUUCUCAUUAGCAACUGCUUUUUUACACGUUCUCUCUCUGUUUUCAUUUUGUGCAACUCCAGUUUUUGUUCCACGGUGCCUACUUCAGAAGAUACAGGUCUCUGCUUAUUUUUAGCUUUCUACGCAAUCAUCUGCUGCUUACAAAAAAAUGCUCUGCACUUUAAAACAGCCUUUCUGCAUGUAUGGGUUAAACUAGGCAAUAUAUUAAAUGUGUGAUCACAACCAACAUUCUAAGAAUACACGGCUGGCUUGUUAACCAUUUAAUCUUGAAUCUAUCCAAGCAUGGGCAUAUGAAUCUUGGUUGUCACAAAUCUUGCGUCUCACUUUAGCCCCCAACCCAUACUCCUGACAUCUGAAAUACCACGCUAGGCAUUGCAGUGUGUAGUACUUAAGACCUACAUCAAUUGAAGAAAUACCUUUAUUAAAUAACUAUUUAUAACUUUAAGCAUUGGUACUGGGGAACAGCAGGCCACUUAUGCUUUAACAGCUGUGUGGCAAGCAGAAAUUCAACAAAUUUAGCCUUUUCUAUUAAAGCAAUACAAUCAUGGGGGAAACGUCACCUGUUGGUAUUCUUUCUGUGUUGCUAUUUAGCCUUAUUCCAGGACUGCAAAACUUUUUGCUGCUAUUGUUUUUAAAGUUAAGUGUACUCCCAACACAACAUCUUUAAAAAAACCAGUCCAAUAGGCAUCUGGUAGGGUGUGGUGCUUGAGGAUGAAUGAAAACUGAGGGGUUUUUGGGUCAUCUGGACCACUAGUAAGUUAUGAUACAAAUCUGCAUAUGACAUGGCAAUUUACCCCCUCUGCUGUGGGUGGGGCAAAGGACCCAACUCACCUACAGGGAACCAGAUCCAGAAGACCCUGCUGGCAACCUUGCCAUCAACUCAACCUCAACCUCCAAUAGCCCAACGCCAUUACUGGUCUGGCAGCCCAACUGCAAAUUCCAUCAACUUUAGACAGAAAGUGUAUCACAUUGCUUCAUCAUUCAAUUAUUUUGAAUGGGAAUCUUUCUCUGCAGGGCUCCUCGGAAUUCAGAAUUCUAGGUGGAACUACAGAAAAGCUCCUUUAGGUAAGUUGCCUGUUGAAUAUUUGGCAGCCCUAAAAUACUCCCCUCAAAGAAUAAGGUAUUAUUAUUAUUAUUAUUAUUAUUAUUAUUAUUAUUAUUAUUAUUAUCAUCAUCAUUAUUAAAUACUUGUAUUGUUUUGAGAAAUGUUCAGUAUCAUUUGCAGAACAAAGAUUUACUAAUGUUUUGGAGCAAUCUUUUUCAUUACCUAUCAUAUUUGUUGGCUUUUAACCUGCAUUCUUUUUACCUUUCAGCAGACAUUCUGCAGCAUAAAUCCAAGACUGUAAAACUUGGGGGAGUUGCUACUGGGAAUCUAGUUCUGUGAACUUUUUUAUUAAGAAGUGAGAAAGGAGGCUGGGAGGGUUUAAUGCUCUCUUCUCAUGGGUCUGGACUAAAACCAAAUAAUAUGUUGGUGUCCCAGCAAAUGGAUUUUGCAGAAGUGAAUUCUGCAGCCUGGUCUCAAUUCGACACCACCAUCCAUACAGGUCUCUUGGUUCCCAUAAGAGCAAUCUUUUGGCUUACCUGAUGUGAUGCAUUUACUGACACUGCUAUUUGAAUAGUCUCUUUGCUUUCACCCUAUCCUGUUGCCUUAGUAACAGCAUCACACUACAGCCGAACUCCCUACAGAGUCAGACAUGUUGAAGCAUUUCUUCGUGUAGGUGUGUUGAGAUUAAUCCAAAAGCUGUGAGUGUAAUUUGAGAAUGAAUUGCUGUUCUGCUCUGUGUUCUGCCUUGGCAAUCCACAGCGCUGUAGCUAUAGGGCUAUAUGGCUAUAUGGGCUGUACCCAGUCAUAUAGGAAAAGUAGGGCAGAUUUAAAUACUAAAGUCAAGGACUACAAGAGAUAUGGAAUUCAAGUUCUAAAGUCUUCCAGUUCUGUGGACAUCUUCAGUUAAAUUCAGUAAUGAACAUUUUCCCCUAGAUGCUGUAAGUUUUCAAACACUGCUAAUGCAGAUCUCAUAAACAGCUUCUUGAUAACAAAGAGAUGUUGCUUUUCAAAUGUGAUAUUGUGCUUGAAAGUGCGGUGCAAUUACAGCAUUACAAAAGAACCUAUAGUAGCUGUUGCGGAGCACUGAAUUUGAAAAAUAUAUAUGAUAAUUUUACACAGUUUCAGUACAUGUCUUUAAAAUUCAUGCAAACUAUACGAAAGUCUGCUGUAUGAAAUAGGUAAAGAUGAAAGGUACCCCUGCCCAUACGGGCCAGUCUUGACAGACUCUAGGGUUGUGCGCUCAUCUCACUCUAUAGGCCGGGAGCCAGCACUGUCCGCAGACACUUGCGGGUCACGUGGCCAGCAUGACAAGCUGCAUCUGGCGAGCCAGCGCAGCACACGGAACGCCAUUUACCUUCCCGCUGGUAAGCGGUCCCUAUUUAUCUACUUGCACCCGGGGGGUGCUUUCGAACUGCUAGGUUGGCAGGCGCUGGGACCGAACGACGGGAGCGCACCCCGCCGCAGGGAUUCGAACUGCCGACCUGACGAUCGGCAAGUCCUAGGCGCUGAGGUUUUACCCACAGCGCCAACCGCAUCCCACGCUGUAUGAAAUACAAGACAUUAAUUCAAAACAAAAACAAAAGCUGGUGGCACCAUUAGGUUAAUUUGUUGUCCAGUUCCAGAAGUUAACUUUUUUCAUCAGACACUCAUUCAUUUUCCUGAAAAUAUUUCCCUUUGCAGUGUUGUUUCCCCGGGGAAAAAAAAGAAAUUUCCCCCAAAUAAGCACACAAGCAAACAUCUGGCAAGAAAUUCCUCAAAAUGUUUUUUUGUGUUUUUAUCUUGUACUUUUGUGCUGUGAACUGGGGCAGUAUACUGAUUUAAUAAAUAAAUGCAAAAAUAAAAUGCAUAAAUAAAAUAUACAGAUUUAAUUAAGUAAUUAUAACUCUGCUAAAACUUAAGUAAAGCACAUGCAGCCAAAGAAGUCCAUUUGCACCCUAAUGGAGGUCCUUCAGCGUAAGAGUAGAUAUCAGCAACACUACACCAGAUUCCUUACACCAGCAGAGCUUUCACUUCCACUAGUGCAAUGGAUUUAGGAGUAACCCUAUCCUCAACCAGUGGCUGUAAAUGAAGGAGAGAAUCAUUCUGAGAGUCUUGUAAUAAUUAGGUGUGAAGAAACUCCUACUGCCCAUAGGAAGAGGUUGUCAAGUGCCUUCUGAAAGAUCAGGGAUGAAUGCUUCUCUUAAUACAAUAUGAAGAAUUCUCAUUUACUAUAGCAGAAAAUUGUAUUUGUAGAUUUAAUUAAGCCCUUCUUGCAAUACACUGGAGAGAGGCAGUCUACAUCGAUUCUGAGCAGCUAAAAUGGGUGAAGGAUUUGUAGCCUAUAUAGGAAUAUUUGCCUUCGCAUUGUACAGCAAAUUUAUAGACAUUGUGAUUAUGCAGGAGGAGACUGCAACAGGUGUGCUUGACUUGCCCAGAACUCAAAUAUACAUGAUUCCCCCACCAUUUAAAUAAAUGACUCAUAUGGUUUUAAACUUUACGUUUCAGAACUGAAAUCAGUUUGAUAAAAAUACAUUUAGGAUCCAUUGCAAAUUUUGAUAUUUAAUGCUCUUCUAAUAUUCAUGAUUUUGUGUCAGUAUAAAACAUUCAACAUGACAGUAGAAACAGAAUAGAUUUGCUUAUUUUAAUUUGGACAGCUUAUGGCAUUUGAUGGAAUUUGGAAAGGGAAAGAAAAGAAGAGACCUCUGGGGAAUAUUGUUUUGAGACAAACACUGUCCUAGAGACUACCAAGGGCACAAUAACUUUUAAAGUAAAAUCUGUUUCUGCCUGUGUCUUUCAUUAAUGAAGUUCUGCCACUCUAAGUCAUCAAAAAGUUUCCAAAUUCCUUAAAUGAGUCUGCUUUUUCUGCUUUAUUGCCCUUUAUGACUGGAACCAUCUUCCAGAAUGCCUCUGUGCGAGUAACUCCCUUGAUCCUUUCAAAUCCCUCUAUGCAACUCUUUUCCAUGAAGCCUUUGGAACAAGCCCUAUGUCCCAAUACUGUACUGCAGGGAUGAAGAACCUGUAGUCCAACCUGCAGACCAUAAUUCCUGGUCAUUGGUCAUGAUAGCUAGGGCUGAUUAGUCCAACAACAACUGGAAGGACACGGGUUUUUCAUCCCUGCUCUAUGCAUAACUAUAAGCCAAGGUACAUGCAACUCAAGUUGAUAAGCUACCUGAUUAUUCUUCUCUGGAAACAUGAGCUGCAGAGUUCUCACAGCAAGAAGCUGGAACUUGAAAAGCCUGUUUUGGAGAUGGCUAGCAGGAGUAGCAUGGUACACGGGUGGCGCUGUGGGUUAAACCACAGAGCCUAGGACUUGCCGAUCAGAAGGUUGGCAGUUCGAAUCUCCGCGACGGGGUGAGCUCCCGUUGCUCGGUCCCUGCUCCUGCCAACCUAGCAGUUCGAAAGCACAUCAAAGUGCAAGUAGAUAAAUAGGUACCGCCCUGGCGGGAAGGUAAACGGCGUUUCCGUGCGCUGCUCUGGUUCACCAGAAGCGGCUUAGUCAUGCUGGCCACAUGACCCAGAAGCUGUACGCCGGCUCCCUUGGCCAAUAAAGCGAGAUGAGCGCCGCAACCCCAGAGUCGGUCACGACUGG
rnacentral:lncRNA from 1 species